CCUACGGGAGGCAGCAGUGGGGGAUAUUGCACAAUGGGGGAAACCCUGAUGCAGCAACGCCGCGUGAGUGAAGACGUAUUUCGGUAUGUAAAGCCCUUUCAGCAGGGAAGAGAAUGACGGUACCUGACUAAGAAGCCCCGGCUAACUACGUGCCAGCAGCCGCGGUAAUACGGCGGGGGCGAGCGUUAUCCGGAUUUACUGGGCGUAAAGGGGGCGUAGGCGGCUGGUUAAGUCCGGAGUGAAAGACCGGGGCUUAACCCCGGAACGGCUUUGGAAACGGAGCAGCUAGAGUGCUGGAGAGGUAAGCGGAAUGCCUAGUGUAGCGGUGAAAUGCGUAGAUAUUAGGAGGAACACCAGUGGCGAAGGCGGCUUACUGGACAGUAACUGACGUUGAGGCACGAAAGCGUGGGGAGCGAACAGGAUUAGAUACCCCAGUAGUC
rnacentral:rRNA from 1 species